rnacentral:rRNA from 1 species
GACAGAGGGUGCAAACGUUGUUCGGAAUUACUGGGCGUAAAGCGUGUGUAGGCGGUCCACUAAGUCGGGUGUGAAAGCCCUGGGCUCAACCCAGGAAGUGCACUCGAAACUGGCGGGCUAGAGUAUCGGAGAGGUUGGUGGAAUUCUCGGUGUAGAGGUGAAAUUCGUAGAUAUUGGGAAGAACACCGGUGGCGAAGGCGGCGACCUGGUCCUUGACUGACGCUGAGGCGCGAAAGCGUGGGGAGCAAACAGG